CCUGGGGAGUACGGUCGCAAGAUUAAAACUCAAAGGAAUUGACGGGGACCCGCACAAGUAGCGGAGCAUGUGGUUUAAUUCGAAGCAACGCGAAGAACCUUACCUACACUUGACAUCCCUUGCAUUACUCUUAAUCGAGGAAAUCCUUUCGGGGACAAGGUGACAGGUGGUGCAUGGUUGUCGUCAGCUCGUGUCGUGAGAUGUUGGGUUAAGUCCCGCAACGAGCGCAACCCUUGUCGUUAGUUACUACCAUUAAGUUGAGGACUCUAGCGAGACUGCCUGGGUUAACCAGGAGGAAGGUGGGGAUGACGUCAAAUCAUCAUGCCCCUUAUGUGUAGGGCUACACACGUGCUACAAUGGCUGGUACAGAGAGAUGCAAUACCGCGAGGUGGAGCCAAACUUAAAAACCAGUCUCAGUUCGGAUUGUAGGCUGAAACUCGCCUACAUGAAGCUGGAGUUACUAGUAAUCGCGAAUCAGAAUGUUGCGGUGAAUACGUUCCCGGGUCUUGUACACACCGCCCGUCACACCAUGAGAGUUGGCAAUACCCGAAGUCCGUGAGCUAACCGCAAGGAGGCAGCGGCCGAAGGUAGGGUCAGCGAUUGGGGUGAAGUCGUAACAAGGUAGCCGU
rnacentral:rRNA from 1 species